AAUAGAUACCCUGGUAGUCCACGCCGUAAAACGAUGAGUGCUAAGUGUUAGAGGGUUUCCGCCCUUUAGUGCUGCAGCUAACGCAUUAAGCACUCCGCCUGGGGAGUACGGCCGCAAGGCUGAAACUCAAAGGAAUUGACGGGGGCCCGCACAAGCGGUGGAGCAUGUGGUUUAAUUCGAAGCAACGCGAAGAACCUUACCAGGUCUUGACAUCCUCUGCCAACCCUAGAGAUAGGGCGUUCCCCUUCGGGGGACAGAGUGACAGGUGGUGCAUGGUUGUCGUCAGCUCGUGUCGUGAGAUGUUGGGUUAAGUCCCGCAACGAGCGCAACCCUUGAUCUUAGUUGCCAGCAUUCAGUUGGGCACUCUAAGGUGACUGCCGGUGACAAACCGGAGGAAGGUGGGGAUGACGUCAAAUCAUCAUGCCCCUUAUGACCUGGGCUACACACGUGCUACAAUGGAUGGUACAAAGAGCUGCGAACCCGCGAGGGUAAGCCAAUCUCAUAAAGCCAUUCUCAGUUCGGAUUGU
rnacentral:rRNA from 1 species